rnacentral:rRNA from 1 species
AACGAACGCUGGCGGCAUGCCUAAUACAUGCAAGUCGAACGAGAUCUUCGGAUCUAGUGGCGCACGGGUGCGUAACGCGUGGGAAUCUGCCCUUGGGUUCGGAAUAACUUCGGGAAACUGAAGCUAAUACCGGAUGAUGACGUAAGUCCAAAGAUUUAUCGCCAAAGGAUGAGCCCGCGUAGGAUUAGCUAGUUGGUAAGGUAAAGGAUUACCAAGGCGACGAUCCUUAGCUGGUAUGAGAGGAUGAUCAGCCACACUGGGACUGAGACACGGCCCAGAUUCCUACGGGAGGCAGCAGUAGGGAAUAUUGGACAAUGGGGGCAACCCUGAUCCAGCAAUGCCGCGUGAGUGAUGAAGGCCUUAGGGUUGUAAAGCUCUUUUACCCGGGAUGAUAAUGACAGUACCGGGAGAAUAAGCCCCGGCUAACUUUGUGCCAGCCGCCGCCGUAA